UGAAGAGAACUCUGUUUCAUCGUGGCAUAUUUUUAAGCACACUAUGUCGCACUCGCGAAGCUUGCGUUUACAAUCGGUUGCCAGGUGACGGCAAUUUUCUUUUUGGGCGUUCCAGCUAUGAAACUGGGUGUUCCCGGAACCCUUUGGAACGCCCGUGGCUCCGCCUAUGCACUGUGCUAGUCCUUUAGUCAGAUAACCGAACGAAGAUACAAACAGAUGAACCGUCAGAGAACCGUCAGAGCGACGCAGUUCUCUUGUGAAAAUACUUUCGGUCAGGUUUUUCUUUUUGACGCUUGAUUGAUUCCACACUGACCGAUCCCGUCCAAAGAUGGCGAGCUACCAUUGAGGAUCCACUGACAUGAACAUUUGAAAUUCUUUGGACCGGUUGUGAGUUAUCGACUGAGUGGUAGGAUCCGCACGGCCACUACUAUUCCGCAUAUCGUGCGAGAAUCCAACACGGAACAAUCACCACACACAAGAGAAAAUUACAAUCCCGGGUUACAUUUUCUUUUAUUUCCUACUUGGGCCCAAGGUUAUGUGAUUUGUGAUUUAUAAAGUAUAAGGUUAUGUUUGUUUUGUACUGUUUAAAGAAACAACUUUUGAAUAAUAAGUCGUCAAACUAAACUGUCGUCUCAUUGAUUAUCCAUCUUGCUCCAGUAUUCAAACCUAGUAAUCUGGCCCCGACUAUUGUUGUAUAAAGAAUUCUUAAUCUGCUAAUCCAAAAAGGUGUUGCACAAGGAACACCGAGAACACGGGUGACGCGGGUAACACAGGGAACAUCUGGAACACAGGUAACACACAGGAGGACACAACUCACCACGAACUACAAUGAUCCGACAAGGAACAAAGGAAAGACAAGGGCUUGAAUACCAAACACACACAGGGCACGCAACAAGUAACAGCUGAAACACAUUAGCGGAGGGAGCAGUAAUCACACAGGAGGGAAACUUGACCGGACAUGGGGAGAAACAAGACAGAGAUACCAAAGUAAAACAGGACCGGCCCGGCCCAGCCAUGUCACACAGCCAAAGGCCGAGGUCCGUUCCUCCCUCUCGGUCGUAUGGGCUGUCAACUUAACCUGAAAGUUCAAUAAAACUUUGGCCCAGGCCAUAACUCAUUAUGAUUGGUUCUGGGCUGGCCCUGGCCCUAUCACACACACGGCAGAGGGCCGAGGUCCCGCCCCUUGGGCCUCGGCUGUCAAUCAGUCACGUCACUAACUGACAGAAAAAUGGAGAAGAAACGUAAAGGAGGCGUGGAGAAUAGUGUCAGUGAGGAAAGUAACCAAUCAGAGCGGAGGAAGAGGGCACCUCCCCACUCUUAAAGACUCUUUGUCAAGAGAGUUCAAACCCCCACAGAUGUCUGAAAGUGGUGUGCCCCAUCCUUAAAACAAGGCUAUGUCUCGCAUCACAUACGGAGCCUCUCUCUCUUUAACCGUUCUUUGACGCUCCAAACCCCGUCCCUCCUGUUCCUUCCUUUGCCCUGUGAUGAUACAGAGCCGGUUCUUAAGGUGCCCCCUGUGAGGACAACGCAGUGUCUGGGGGGGGUGACGGAGGCAGUGCGGCCACCUGGGGCCCGAGCGGAUCAGAGGAAAAGGGCUACUCUGCGGUUGGCCUUGAUGGGGAGAUAUUUUAACCCUUUUUAACCCCAUUUUCCUGCGACAUUCCUGCGUCUCCCCCUGCGUCACAGCCCGCUUCAGCACCAUGUCAGUGGACAGCGUGUUGCGGGUAUUGGACUGGAUGCCUGGACUCUCCUCAUGGAUAACCGGCCAGAACCCCAUCACCAUUUUAAUAUGAUGUGCAUGUAUUUACCUGUGUGUCAAUUGUGGCACCCAUUGCACUCCUGACCAUCCCUGGAAGAAGGGAUCCCCUACAACGCGUUUCUUCUCAAGAUUUCUUCCUUGCUGAUUUCAAGGGAGUUUUUUCUUGCCCGUGUGGGGGCAUGGGUAAAGGGGGUGUCGCAAAUAUUUGGCCUGUUAAGCCCUUUGAGACUGUAAUGGUGAAUAAGGGCUAUACAAAUACAAUUGAAUUGAAUUGAAUUGAACUACUCGCUGGAAAUCGCUAUGUUUGUGACUGCUGUGUCCUGAUUAUCACCGAAACUUGGAUUCACCCGGACAUACCCGAUGCUAGCGUGCAGCUAGCAGGCCGCACUCUGCUCCGUUGGGACCGGACGAAGGACUCCGCCAUGCCCCCACCCCUACCUGGCUCCCACACCACCCCGCUCACUGUACAGGAGCACGACGUCAGACGGGUGCUCCUGGCAGUGAACCCCAAGAAAGCUGCCGGCCCUGACUGAGUACCCAGCAAGGUGCUCAGAGGGUGCGCCUCCGAGCUCGCCCCCACCUUCACCAGGAUCUUCAAUCUCUCCCUGGCCCAGGCAGUCAUCCCGCCGUGCCUAAUAUCAUCCACAAUAAUCCCAGUGCCGAAGAAGUCUACCAUCACCAGUCUGAACGAUUACCGUCCGGUGGCCCUUACUCCGGUAAUCAUGAAGUGCUUCGAGAGACUGGUCCUUCAGCACAUCAAGGACUAUCUCCCCCCAGACUUCGACCCUCACCAGUUUGCAUAUCUAGCGAACAGAUCCACAGAAGACGCCAUUUCCGUAGCUCUCCACUCUUCACUGAACCACCUGGAGCAGCAGAAGAGCUACGUUCGGAUGCUCUUUGUGGACUACAGUUCAGCCUUCAACACCAUAAUCCCGGGCAGACUCAUCACUAAACUGGACACUCUCGGCCUUCCCCCUCUCACAUGUGCCUGGAUAAAGGACUUUUUAACAAACCGACCCCUGACUGUGAGACUUGGCCCCCACCUCUCCUCCACCCACACCCUGAGCAUCGGCUCCCCACAGGGCUGUGUGCUGAGCCCCCUCCUGUACUGCCUCUACACCCACGACUGCAGUCCGGCACACAACGACAAUCUCAUCGUCAAAUUCGCAGACAACACUACAGUGGUCGGACUCAUCUCUAAGGGUGAUGAGGCAGCCUACAGAGAGGAGGUCCUGAAUUUGACAGCCUGG
ensembl:lncRNA